GGCCUGGUGGUGUACUGGCAACACAUCCUCUUUGCUUGGGAUGAAGUCGAAGUCGAUUGAUUUUCGGAGGAAGAACCCUGUUCAAUUCCGGGCCAAGCCA